rnacentral:rRNA from 1 species
UACGUAGGGUGCAAGCGUUAUCCGGAAUUAUUGGGCGUAAAGAGCUCGUAGGCGGUUUGUCGCGUCUGCUGUGAAAACCCGAGGCUCAACCUCGGGCCUGCAGUGGGUACGGGCAGACUAGAGUGCGGUAGGGGAGAUUGGAAUUCCUGGUGUAGCGGUGGAAUGCGCAGAUAUCAGGAGGAACACCGGUGGCGAAGGCGGGUCUCUGGGCCGAAACUGACGCUGAGACGCGAAAGCUAGGGGAGCGAACAGG